AGCGAACGCUGGCGGCAGGCCUAACACAUGCAAGUCGAACGAACCUUUCGGGGUUAGUGGCGGACGGGUGAGUAACACGUGGGAACGUGCCUUUAGGUUCGGAAUAACUCAGGGAAACUUGUGCUAAUACCGAAUGUGCCCUUCGGGGGAAAGAUUUAUCGCCUUUAGAGCGGCCCGCGUCUGAUUAGCUAGUUGGUUGAGGUAAUGGCUCACCAAGGCGACGAUCAGUAGCUGGUCUGAGAGGAUGAUCGGCCACAUUGGGAAUAAGACACGGCCCAAACUCCUACGGGAGGCAGCAGUGGGGAAUCUUGCGCAAUGGGCGAAAGCCUGACGCAGCCAUGCCGCGUGAAUGAUGAAGGUCUUAGGAUUGUAAAAUUCUUUCACCGGGGACGAUAAUGACGGUACCCGGGGAAGAAGCCCCGGCUAACUUCGUGCCAGCCGCCGCAGUAA
rnacentral:rRNA from 1 species